CCUACGGGAGGCAGCAGUGAGGAAUAUUGGUCAAUGGACGCAAGUCUGAACCAGCCAUGCCGCGUGCAGGAAGACGGCUCUAUGAGUUGUAAACUGCUUUUGUACGAGGGUAAACGCAGAUACGCGUAUCUGUCUGAAAGUAGCGUACGAAUAAGGAUCGGCUAACUCCGUGCCAGCAGCCGCGGUAAGACGGAGGCUUCAAGCGUUAUCCGGAUUUAUUGGGGUUAAAGGGUGCGUAGGCGGUCGGAGCAGUGAGAGGUGAAAUCCCGAGGCUCAACUUCGGAAUUGCCUCUGAUACGGGUCGGCUAGAUCGUAGUUGCGGUAGGCGGACUGUCUGGUGUAGCGG
rnacentral:rRNA from 1 species